AUAACACAUGUGUCUGUGUUUAUUGCAAUAGUGGACAUAGACUUAAUGAUAGUUACAAAACUAAAUCUGUUUUGAUAACCCAGAACUCAUUGUUCAAGAUGAGUUUUGAUACACAUAGGAAUCAAUAUA
ensembl:snoRNA